rnacentral:rRNA from 1 species
UACGGAGGGGGCUAGCGCUGUUCGGAAUUACUGGGCGUAAAGCGCGCGUAGGCGGGCUGUUAAGUCGGGGGUGAAAUCCCGGGGCUCAACCCCGGAACUGCCUUCGAUACUGGCAGCCUAGAGGAAGGCAGAGGCUAGUGGAAUGGCGAGUGUAGAGGUGGAAUUCGUAGAUAUUCGCCGGAACUCCAGUGGCGAAGGCGACUGGCUGGGCCUUUUCUGACGCUGAGGUGCGAAAGCGUGGGGAGCAAACAGG